rnacentral:rRNA from 2 species
ACACAUGCAGUCGAGGGGUAUUGGUAGCUUGCUACCAAGAGACCGGCGCACGGGUGCGUAACGCGUAUGCAAUCUACCUUUCACAAAGGGAUAGCCCAGAGAAAUUUGGAUUAAUACCUUAUAGUAUAUGAGAACCGCAUGGUUUUUUUAUUAAAGAUUUAUCGGUGAAAGAUGAGCAUGCGUCCCAUUAGCUAGAUGGUAAGGUAACGGCUUACCAUGGCGACGAUGGGUAGGGGUCCUGAGAGGGAGAUCCCCCACACUGGUACUGAGACACGGACCAGACUCCUACGGGAGGCAGCAGUGAGGAAUAUUGGUCAAUGGGCGCAAGCCUGAACCAGCCAUGCCGCGUGCAGGAUGAAGCAUCUAUGGUGUGUAAACUGCUUUUAUACGAGAAGAAACACUGCUUCGUGAAGCAGCUUGACGGUAUCGUAAGAAUAAGGACCGGCUAACUCCGUGCCAGCAGCCGCGGUAAUACGGAGGGUCCAAGCGUUAUCCGGAAUCAUUGGGUUUAAAGGGUCCGUAGGCGGGCCAGUAAGUCAGUGGUGAAAUCUCCCGGCUCAACCGGGAAAUUGCCAUUGAUACUGCUGGUCUUGAAUUAUUGGGAAGUAACUAGAAUAUGUAGUGUAGCGGUGAAAUGCUUAGAGAUUACAUGGAAUACCAAUUGCGAAGGCAGGUUACUAUCAAUAUAUUGACGCUGAUGGACGAAAGCGUGGGUAGCGAACAGGAUUAGAUACCCUGGUAGUCCACGCCGUA